rnacentral:rRNA from 1 species
UGGGGAAUUUUCCGCAAUGGGCGAAAGCCUGACGGAGCAAUGCCGCGUGGAGGUGGAAGGCCUACGGGUCGUCAACUUCUUCUCUCGGAGAAAGAAACAAUGACGGUAUCUGAGGAAUAAGCAUCGACUAACUCUGUACCAG